GAUGAACGCUGGCGGCGUGCCUAAUACAUGCAAGUCGAGCGAAUGGAUUAAGAGCUUGCUCUUAUGAAGUUAGCGGCGGACGGGUGAGUAACACGUGGGUAACCUGCCCAUAAGACUGGGAUAACUCCGGGAAACCGGGGCUAAUACCGGAUAAUAUUUUGAACUGCAUGGUUCAAAAUUGAAAGGCGGCUUCGGCUGUCACUUAUGGAUGGACCCGGGUCGCAUUAGCUAGUUGGUGGGGUAACGGCUCACCAAGGCAACGAUGCGUAGCCGACCUGAGAGGGUGAUCGGCCACACUGGGACUGAGACACGGCCCAGACUCCUACGGGAGGCAGCAGUAGGGAAUCUUCCGCAAUGGACGAAAGUCUGACGGAGCAACGCCGCGUGAGUGAUGAAGGCUUUCGGGUCGUAAAACUCUGUUGUUAGGGAAGAACAAGUGCUAGUUGAAUAAGCUGGCGCCUUGACGGUACCUAACCAGAAAGCCACGGCUAACUACGUGCCAGCCGCCGCCGUAA
rnacentral:rRNA from 1 species